UAUGUUCUGCAACAAUGAUUAAGUGGAAUGAAAAUAUGUGCAAAUACAAUGAAAUCAUGACGUCAGAUUUGAAAGAAUGACUAGUGGUGUUACAAAUGUGAUCAAAUGUGAGUUUUGUACUGAGAGAUUUGAAAAUGCACACUUUAGUUAUAAAAAUAGUACCAAACCAAUUAAAAAAAAAAAAUCCCACAAUUUUCUGUAAUUAAUCGCAAUUACUUGAUCAAUAGCCUGGCCACAAUUACAUUUUCUUCAACUUUAUAUUUAAACUUGUAACUAAAAUUCAUGCACUAAUGAAGUAAAUGGAGAAUAAACACAAAGAAUGUAUGCUUAAAUUCAAAGAGAAUUUGUAUAGUUUUCUUCAAUCUUUUAGCACAGGUUCUCGCCUGUGGAAUACAACUUUUAAAAACAAAAACAAAAAAACUAUAUAUUAAUAGGUUAGUUUACACUAAUAUAUAAUAUGUAUUAGUGCUGUCAAACAAAUGUUUAAUCAGAUUCAUCACAGGGUUACUGUGGAUUCAUUUUGAUUAAUCACGAUUAAAUAUCAUUCAAUGCAUCAUUCAUGCAGUUUCUUGCAAUCCACUUGGCAAUUGUGUCAGUCAAUAUUUCCGAGGUAGACUUACUGAGUCCCCGAUGCUCCGUGAGUGGUUUGUAGCAAGCUGAGUGACGCGUUAACCAAAGUCCUAGCAGCAUCCCCGGCUAACGUAUGCUUUGCGUCAAUGUGAUAUUUUAAGCUGGAGGUGCUUUCGCGCAUGUGCGAAGGUAACUCUGUUUGGACAAACUGCCCAAAAGGCGUUGACAGAAACAUUUCAGGAAUUUUGAGUCAUUCUGCACUCCAGAUGCAUUAAUUUUGACAGGACUAAAAUAAAGACAAAUGAAUGCACAAAGACUCAUUUUUUUUACUCCUGUUGUCUCAUUUACUGUGAAUAUUUAGUCCUUCUGACCGUGAGACGCAGUUAUUGUCAAGAAAACACUUCAGUAUUUCACUUUUAUAUGGCAGAAAAAGUCCAUGUUUAUUCAUUUGAUCCUGAAUUUCUCAGAAAAUGUUUUGGAUAAAUUCUAUGAGGUUGUUUACAGAUCCCAGAUUUCAAAGAGACUUCCCGGAUUGCUGUAAUCAGAGGUCACCAUUACGAAACAUCAAACAUGUAGAAGCACAGGUUUUCUGGUUAAUGUGUGUUUGAUUUAAAAUCAGAGUUUCUCUGAUUGUCAGCUAGAUCUCUACAAGCUCUGUGUUUUUGUUAAGGAACAGAUAUCAGGGAAAAUGAGGGAAAAUAUAAGAAAGCACAGUUAGAUUCUCCUUUACUUGAGUUUACAGCAUCCCAACAGGUUUGGCGUGGCUGCCUAGCAACUAAAAAUGUUUCCAGGUGUAUAGUAAGAACAUUUGUUUUUACCAAAUUCAUAUGAGGCGGAAGGAUUUGGCAAAAUCUGUUUUUUCCAUUUUUCAGAAAGAAGACUUUAAGGUGCGCCAAACUGAACAUUUAUAAAAUCAUCAUACCAGAGUAACUGGAACAUGGCUGGAAAUGUUCUCAUCACAGGACAACCUUAAAGGAGCACUUGAUGAUUCAGGGUGGAGAGAAACCUGACCUCUGUGGUAUCUGUGGCUGAUGUUUCCAUAGUGACAGCUGCUACAGGCUUCACCUCAGAGUCCACCAUGAUGACGAGCGGUAUGAGUGUGAUGUUUGUGGGAAAAUCUUCAUACGCCACGAUCACCUGACCAAACAUCAGAAAAUACACUCUGGUGAGAAAGCACAACAGUGUGAGGAGUGUGGCAAGUGCAUUAGAUGCCAUGAUCACCUGACAGUCC